rnacentral:rRNA from 1 species
AUACGUAGGGUGCGAGCGUUGUCCGGAAUUACUGGGCGUAAAGAGCUCGUAGGUGGUUUGUCGCGUCGUCUGUGAAAUUCCGGGGCUUAACUCCGGGCGUGCAGGCGAUACGGGCAUAACUUGAGUACUGUAGGGGAGACUGGAAUUCCUGGUGUAGCGGUGAAAUGCGCAGAUAUCAGGAGGAACACCGGUGGUGAAGGCGGGUCUCGGGGCAGUAACUGACGCUGAGGAGCGAAAGCAUGGGUAGCGAACAGGAUUAGAUACCCGGGUAGUCCAUGCCGUAAACGGUGGGCGCUAGGUGUAGGGGUCUUCCACGACUUCUGUGCCGUAGCUAACGCAUUAAGCGCCCCGCCUGGGGAGUACGGCCGCAAGGCUAAAACUCAAAGGAAUUGGCGGGG